CCAUAUUUAGCUUUUACCCAGAAUGGUGCUUGCUUUUGCCAGUUUGCAUCUCACAAUGGCCAAAAGAUAAAUGUUCAGCUGCUGUAAAUCUACAACUCCCAUGAUGCUUUGCCAUCAUUAGCCAUUCUGGCCCACAGCAGGUUAAUUCAAGCCCAUCGGGAUUUUAUUCCUUACACGUACACUGUCACAAUAGAUUAGAUUGUUGCUACCACAAUCCACUUGUG